AAGGAUUUCAUGGAAAGGAAAAACUUUGUCGAUUUUCAUUUUGAGCAUUUUAUAUAAUUUUCAAGAAAAAACUCGUUAAAAGGGUUUUAUUUACCUUUUCUUAUUCAAACAUAUUCAAAUCAAAGGCGAUAAAUUGUUAAUCAGCAAAUUUGUGGUACAAGACAAUACUUUUUUUACUUCAAGGGAAGUGGUAAAGGGAAGGCCUGCGGGCCAAUCUCUUCAACACUAGUGAAGGUGGGAAGGUGAAGGAAAAUGGUAUUUCGUGAAGGGUUUUGAUUUUCUACCACAUUCUGAAUGCUUCCAGUUCUGUAUCAAACACGACGCGAUAAAGUAGAAGACUUCUUUUUUGUGUAUGAGAUUGUUGUAUCUGACAAGAUUCUUACAGAUAGUAUCUGACACGUAAAUGUGAUGUUACUGGAUUGGCGGUACUGAGAUUAAACUAGUUCUCAUUUGCUCGGUCCGUGUGGACUAUUAUUUAUUGGUUUUCAUGGUGGUGAAUUGAUAUUUAACAGUGCUUGAACCUAUUAAGUACCAAUCAACACAAUGCAGUAUGCUGGGAGCACAAAAUGAAGGCAUCCGUGGAAGGAACAGCAAUGCUGGGAGCAGGCGGUUCGCAGAAAGUGAUCAAGUGCGCAAGCCACCAGCCAGCUGACGCAGAGCCUAGAGGGCGUUCGCCACCAACAUCCGCACGGCGCAGCUGCAGAGGUGAUUUCUGCCAUGGAGCAGCAUCCGCGGCUCCAUGACAUCAUCCUUCCAUCAUUCUCCAUCAUCAUUCCCGGAGCUCACCCGGCGACGCCCGCGCCCCGCCUGGCCGUCCAGCCUGCGCGCUCCGCCGCGCGCCGCGGGCCUGGCUCGCCGAGACGUCCGGCUUAGGUCGGCGUUUGAGGCGCGGCGGGGGGCAACGUCUCUGUGCCCUGCUCCGGGUCCCCGCCGCCUGCGGUCUCUUCUGCUGCCGCCACUGAGGGGAGCGGCUCUUCUUUGAAGACAUCAUCGGUCGACGGUGAUGCUGGCGGGCCGGUGGCGGCGUGCCCCGUCGGCAGCGCGCCUCGGGAGGACGCUGGUGACGACGAAUCUUCAUCGCCGUCGGCACCGGUCACGAGCGAGUCGCUGUUUAGUUGGCCAGCUACUGUGCCAAAAAGUGCGACUGUGGCCAGACUGGUAUACGAUUUGUCAGUGCUUACGCCCCUCUUGCCGUGCCGGCCGUGCUCUUUGCCGUCUAUUGGGGAUGCGUUAGAGUUAUCGUUUUGGGGUUUAUACCGGUAUCAAGAUUGAUUUAAAAGAUGGAUUUUAUCACAUUUCUCGCGCACGUUCCACACGUCCUUUUGGUGUUUUGUAUGAUGGUAAAACGUGCUUAUACCUUUUCUCUGUUACCAAUGGGCCAUAUUAGGUACUGCAUCUCCUGCAUUAUUAGGUAGAGAUGCAGUACCAUUAUUAGGUACUGCAUUAUUAGGUACUGAAGGAGAUGCAGUUAGGUACUGCAGCAGUACCUAACAGAUGCUUUCAGUGAACUUGUAGAGUCGAGAUUUAACGUCAGGUGUGAGGUGUUUGGCGUAUUUAGAUUAUUUUCUUUUUAUGUCCAAGGACGCUGAAUGGUAUCGCUGCGUUUCUGACUAGUGUUGGGUUGUGUAUUAAUUUCAAUAAAUUAGUUCUCGUUCCGUC